UACGAAGGGGGCUAGCGUUGCUCGGAAUCACUGGGCGUAAAGGGUGCGUAGGCGGGUAUUUAAGUCAGAGGUGAAAUCCUGGAGCUCAACUCCAGAACUGCCUUUGAUACUGAGUAUCUUGAGUACGGGAGAGGUGAGUGGAACUGCGAGUGUAGAGGUGAAAUUCGUAGAUAUUCGCAAGAACACCAGUGGCGAAGGCGGCUCACUGGCCCGUUACUGACGCUGAGGCACGAAAGCGUGGGGAGCAAACAGGG
rnacentral:rRNA from 1 species